UACGUAGGGUGCGAGCGUUAAUCGGAAUUACUGGGCGUAAAGCGUGCGCAGGCGGCGCGUUAAGACAGGUGUGAAAGCCCCGAGCUUAACUUGGGAAAUUUGCGCUUGUGACUGGCGUGCUGGAGUGUGGCAGAGGGAGGUGGAAUUCCACGUGUAGCAGUGAAAAUGCGUAGAGAUGUGGAGGAACACCGAUGGCGAAGGCAGCCUCCUGGGCCAGCACUGACGCUCAUGCACGAAAGCGUGGGGGAGCAAACAAGG
rnacentral:rRNA from 1 species